GAACUUGAGAGUUUGAUCCUGGCUCAGAGCGAACGCUGGCGGCAUGCUUAACACAUGCAAGUCGCACGGGCAGCAAUGUCAGUGGCGGACGGGUGAGUAACGCGUAGGAACAUGUCCAUGAGGUGGGGGACAACCCUGGGAAACUGGGGCUAAUACCGCAUAUCGGCUGAGGCCGAAAGCCUUCGGGCGCCUUUGGAGUGGCCUGCGUUCGAUUAGCUUG
rfam:Roseomonas rosea strain DSM 14916 genome assembly, contig: EJ99DRAFT_scaffold00056.56